CGAAGGGUGCAAGCGUUACUCGGAAUCACUGGGCGUAAAGCGUGCGUAGGUGGUUUUUUAAGUCUGUCGUGAAAGCCCUGGGCCCAACCUGGGAACGGCGAUGGAUACUGGAAAGCUAGAGUGCGGUAGAGGGGUGUGGAAUUCCCGGUGUAGCGGUGAAAUGCGUAGAGAUCGGGAGGAACACCAGUGGCGAAGGCGGCACCCUGGACCAGCACUGACACUGAGGCACGAAAGCGUGGGGAGCAAAACAGGAUUAGAUACCCUGGUAGUCCACGCCCUAAACGAUGCGAACUGGACGUUGGGAGCAACUUGGCUCUCAGUGUCGAAGCUAACGCGUUAAGUUCGCCGCCUGGGGAGUACGGUCGCAAGACUG
rnacentral:rRNA from 1 species